UGGGGAUGUAGCUUAGUUGGGAGAGCGCCGCCUUUGCAAGGCGGAGGUCGUGGGUUCGAAUCCCAUCAUCUCCAU
rnacentral:tRNA from 1 species